rnacentral:rRNA from 1 species
AUGCAAGUCGAACGGAGUUUACAGGCAGAAGUUUUCGGAUGGAAGCUUGUAAACUUAGUGGCGGACGGGUGAGUAACACGUGAGCAACCUGCCUAUCAGAGGGGGAUAACGAUUGGAAACGAUCGCUAAUACCGCAUGACAUAGCGGAACCGCAUGGUUCUGUUAUCAAAGAUUUAUCGCUGAUAGAUGGGCUCGCGUCCGAUUAGAUAGUUGGUGGGGUAACGGCCUACCAAGUCGACGAUCGGUAGCCGGACUGAGAGGUCGAACGGCCACAUUGGGACUGAGACACGGCCCAGACUCCUACGGGAGGCAGCAGUGGGGGAUAUUGCACAAUGGGGGAAACCCUGAUGCAGCGACGCCGCGUGAGGGAAGACGGUCCUCUGGAUUGUAAACCUCUGUCUUCGGGGACGAAACGAGACGGUACCCGAGGAGGAAGCCACGGCUAACUACGUGCCAGCAGCCGCGGUAAUACGUAGGUGGCAAGCGUUGUCCGGAAUUACUGGGUGUAAAGGGAGCGUAGGCGGGCAGGCAAGUCAGGCGUGAAAUAUAUCGGCUCAACCGGUAACGGCGCUUGAAACUGCAGGUCUUGAGUGAAGUAGAGGUUGGCGGAAUUCCCAGUGUAGCGGUGAAAUGCGUAGAUAUUAGGAGGAACACCAGUGGCGAAGGCGGCCAACUGGGCUUUUACUGACGCUGAGGCUCGAAAGUGUGGGGAGCAAACAGGAUUAGAUACCCUGGUAGUCCACACCGUAAACGAUGAUUACUAGGUGUGGGGGGACUGACCCCUUCCGUGCCGGAGUUAACACAAUAAGUAAUCCACCUGGGGGAGUACGGCCGCA